rnacentral:rRNA from 1 species
AGAGUUUGAUCCUGGCUCAGAUUGAACGCUGGCGGCAUGCCUAACACAUGCAAGUCGAACGGUAACAGGCCCUUCGGGGUGCUGACGAGUGGCAGACGGGUGAGCAAUACGUAGGAAUCUGCCCUGGUAGUGGGGGAUAGCUCGGCGAAAGCCGGAUUAAUACCGCAUACGAUCUACGGAUGAAAGCGGGGGACCGUAAGGCCUCGCGCUAUAGGAUGAGCCUACGUCUGAUUAGCUAGUUGGUAGGGUAACGGCCUACCAAGGCGACGAUCAGUAGCUGGUCUGAGAGGAUGAUCAGCCACACCGGAACUGAGACACGGCCCAGACUCCUACGGGAGGCAGCAGUAGGGAAUCUUCCGCAAUGGGCGCAAGCCUGACGGAGCAACGCCGCGUGAGCGAGGACGGCCUUCGGGUUGUAAAGCUCUGUUCUUCGGGAAGAAGGGCGGGAGGGCGAACAACUCUUCCGCUUGACGGUACCGAAGGAGAAAGCCCCGGCUAACUACGUGCCAGCAGCCGCGGUAAUACGUAGGGGGCGAGCGUUGUCCGGAAUUAUUGGGCGUAAAGCGCGCGUAGGCGGCUGGUUAAGUCCUGUGUGAAAGACCACGGCUCAACCGUGGGGGUGCACGGGAAACUGGCCGGCUUGAGUGCAGGAGAGGGGAGCGGAAUNCCCGGUGUAGCGGUGGAAUGCGUANAGAUCGGGAGGAACACCAGUGGCGAAG